rnacentral:lncRNA from 1 species
UACCCAACGGUUGGAUAGGUUGAAUGUGUAGAACAACAUCCUUAGAAUCUAUACGGAUAUAGUUUCCAUAUAAUUCAUUCUCUUGACCAAAAUACUCAUAGGAUACCUCAGAGUUUAACUGUCAACUCUGAUCAGGUUGACCACAUUGUAUUUCAAAAUAUCAAAUCUAUCUAAUGGAUUAUCCUGAUCAAGAUUUUGCUAAAUUAAAAUACAGCGACUCAUUCUUCUCCA